UUUCUGGUUGAUCCUGCCAGAGGUUACUGCUAUCGAGGUUCGACUAAGCCAUGCGAGUCGAAUGUAGCAAUACAUGGCGUACUGCUCAGUAACACGUGGACAACCUGCCCUUAGGACGGGUAUAAACCCGGGAAACUGGGUAUAAUUCCCGAUAGGUCUCGUCUGCUGGAAUGCAUCGAGAUCCAAAGCUCCGGCGCCUAAGGAUGGGUCUGCGGCCUAUCAGGUAGUAGUGGGUGUAGCGUACCUACUAGCCUACAACGGGUACGGGUUGUGAGAGCAAGAGCCCGGAGAUGGAUUCUGAGACACUAAUCCAGGCCCUACGGGGUGCAGCAGGCGCGAAAACUUUACAAUGCUGGGAACAGCGAUAAGGGAACCUCGAGUGCCAGGUUACAAAUCUGGCUGUCGUGAUGCCUAAAAAGCAUUAUAUAGCAAGGGCCGGGCAAGACCGGUGCCAGCCGCCGCGGUAACACCGGCGGCUCGAGUGGUAACCGUUAUUAUUGGGUCUAAAGGGUCUGUAGCCGGCCGGAUAAGUCUCUUGGGAAAUCUGGCAGCUUAACUGUCAGGCUUUCAGGGGAUACUGUCUGGCUCGAGGCCGGGAGAGGUGAGAGGUACUUCAGGGGUAGGGGUGAAAUCUUGUAAUCCUUGAAGGACCACCAGUGGCGAAGGCGUCUCACCAGAACGGACCUGACGGCAAGGGACGAAAGCUAGGGGCACGAACCGGAUUAGAUACCCGGGUAGUCCUAGCCGUAAACGAUACUCGCUAGGUGUCGGCCACGGUGCGACCGUUGUCGGUGCCGUAGGGAAGCCGUGAAGCGAGCCACCUGGGAAGUACGGCCGCAAGGCUGAAACUUAAAGGAAUUGGCGGGAA
rnacentral:rRNA from 1 species